rnacentral:rRNA from 1 species
CAUGACUGUAGCAAUACAGUUGAUGGCGACCGGCAAACGGGUGCGGAACACGUACACAACCUUCCUUUUAGUGGAGAAUAGCCCAGGGAAACUUGGAUUAAUACUCCGUAACAUAUAGAAGUGGCAUCACUUUUAUAUUAUAGCAGCAAUGCGCUAGAAGAUGGGUGUGCGGCUGAUUAGAUAGUUGGCGGGGUAACGGCCCACCAAGUCGACGAUCAGUAACUGGUGUGAGAGCACGACCAGUCACACGGGCACUGAGACACGGGCCCGACUCCUACGGGAGGCAGCAGUAAGGAAUAUUGGUCAAUGGACGCAAGUCUGAACCAGCCAUGCCGCGUGGAGGAUGAAGGUCCUCUGGAUUGUAAACUUCUUUUAUCUGGGAAGAAAUCCAUUUUUUCUAAAAUGGUUGACGGUACCAGAUGAAUAAGCACCGGCUAACUCCGUGCCAGCAGCCGCGGUAAUACGGAGGGUGCAAGCGUUAUCCGGAUUCACUGGGUUUAAAGGGUGCGUAGGUGGGCAAGUAAGUCAGUGGUGAAAUCUCCGGGCUUAACCCGGAAACUGCCAUUGAUACUAUUUGUCUUGAAUACUGUGGAGGUCAGCGGAAUAUGUCAUGUAGCGGUGAAAUGCUUAGAUAUGACAUAGAACACCAAUUGCGAAGGCAGCUGGCUACACAAAUAUUGACACUGAGGCACGAAAGCGUGGGGAUCAAACAGGAUUAGAUACCCUGGUAGUCCACGCCCUAAACUAUGGAUACUCGACAUUUGCGAUAAACUGCAAGUGUCUGAGCGAAAGCAUUAAGUAUCCCACCUGGGAAGUACGAUCGCAAGAUUGAAACUC